AGUGGCGGACGGGUGAGUAACACGUGGGUAACCUGCCCUAAAGUGGGGGAUAACAUUUGGAAACAGAUGCUAAUACCGCAUAAAACCUAACACCGCAUGGUGUAGGGUUGAAAGAUGGUUUCGGCUAUCACUUUAGGAUGGACCCGCGGUGCAUUAGUUAGUUGGUGAGGUAAAGGCUCACCAAGACCGUGAUGCAUAGCCGACCUGAGAGGGUAAUCGGCCACACUGGGACUGAGACACGGCCCAGACUCCUACGGGAGGCAGCAGUAGGGAAUCUUCCACAAUGGACGAAAGUCUGAUGGAGCAACGCCGCGUGAGUGAAGAAGGUUUUCGGAUCGUAAAACUCUGUUGUUGGAGAAGAAUGUAUCUGAUAGUAACUGAUCAGGUAGUGACGGUAUCCA
rnacentral:rRNA from 1 species